rnacentral:rRNA from 1 species
GACGAACGCUGGCGGCGUGCCUAAUACAUGCAAGUCGAACGAGAGCACCCGGUGCUUGCACUGGUCUCUCUAGUGGCGCACGGGUGGGUAACACGUGGGUACCCUGCUCAUCAGUGGGGGAUCACAUCCGGACACGGACGCUAAAACCACAUAAGUCUUCGAACCGCAUGGUUUGUUGAGGAAAAGCGGCGCAUGCUUCUGCUGAUGGAUGGACCCGCGGUGUAUUUGCUAGUUGGUGAGGUAACGGCUUACCAAGGUCGGGAUUCGUAGCCGAAGUGCGGGGGUGAUCGGCCACAUUGGAGCGGAGACACGGCCCUAACGCCUGCGGGAGGCAGCAGUAGGGAAUGGGACGCAAUGGACGGAAGUCUGACGGAGCAACGGCGCGUGAGUGAAGAAGGUGUUCGGAGCGUAAUGCUCUGUUGUUAGAGAAGAACAAGUGCUAGAGUAACUGUUGGGGGCGUGACGGUAACUAGCCAGAAAGCCACGGCUAACUACGUG